rnacentral:rRNA from 1 species
GUUUGAUCCUGGCUCAGAGUGAACGCUGGCGGCGUGGAUUAGGCAUGCAAGUCGAACGAUCCCGCAAGGGAUAGUGGCAAAAGGGUGAGUAACACACGAGCAAUUUACCCUUAAGUGGGGAACAACCUUGGGAAACCGAGGCUAAAACCGCAUAAGACCACGAUCGGGCAUCCGAUUGUGAUCAAAGAGGGGGACCGCAAGGCCUCUCGCUUAGGGAUGAGCUCGUGUCCUAUCAGCUUGUUGGUGAGGUAACGGCCCACCAAGGCUUUUGACGGGUAGCUGGUCUGAGAGGAUGGUCAGCCACAUUGGGACUGAGACACAGCCCAGACUCCUACGGGAGGCUGCAGUCGAGGAUCUUUUGCAAUGCCCGCAAGGGUGACAAUGCGACGCCGCGUGUGUGAUGAAGGUCUUCGGAUCGUAAAACACUGUCGGCCGGAAGGAAUCUCUGGAGGCUGAAUAAGCCUGCAGGGUGACAGUACCGGCAGAGGAAGCCACGGCUAACUCCGUGCCAGCAGCCGCGGUAAUACGGAGGUGGCAGGCGUUACUCGGAUUGAUUGGGUGUAAAGGGUGUGUAGGUGGCCGAAUAAGUCGAAUGUGAAAUCCCUUGGCUUAACCAAGGAACUGCAUUCGAAACUGCUCGGCUUGAGCGUCAGAGAGGAAAUGGAAUUCACGGUGUAACAGUGAAAUGUGUAGAUAUCGUGAGGAACACCAGUGGCGAAAGCGAUUUUCUGGCUGACUGCUGACACUGAA